AUUGAACGCUGGCGGCAUGCUUUACACAUGCAAGUCGAACGGCAGCGCGGGCUUCGGCCUGGCGGCGAGUGGCGAACGGGUGAGUAAUACACCGGAACGUGCCCAGUAGUGGGGGAUAGCUCGGCGAAAGCCGGAUUAAUACCGCAUACGACCUGAGGGUGAAAGCGGGGGAUCUUCGGACCUCGCGCUAUUGGAGCGGCCGAUGGCAGAUUAGCUAGUUGGUGGGGUAAAGGCCUACCAAGGCGACGAUCUGUAGCUGGUCUGAGAGGACGACCAGCCACACUGGGACUGAGACACGGCCCAGACUCCUACGGGAGGCAGCAGUGGGGAAUUUUGGACAAUGGGCGAAAGCCUGAUCCAGCAAUGCCGCGUGUGUGAUGAAGGCCUUCGGGUUGUAAAGCACUUUUGGCGGGAACGAAAAGGACUGUGCCAAUACCACGGUUCGAUGACGGUACCCGCAGAAUAAGCACCGGCUAACUACGUG
rnacentral:rRNA from 1 species